GUGCCAGCAGCCGCGGUAAUACGUAGGGUGCGAGCGUUGUCCGGAAUUAUUGGGCGUAAAGAGCUCGUAGGCGGUUUGUUGCGUCGGCCGUGAAAACCUGCAGCUUAACUGUGGGCCUGCGGUCGAUACGGGCAGACUUGAGUUCGGUAGGGGAGACUGGAAUUCCUGGUGUAGCGGUGAAAUGCGCAGAUAUCAGGAGGAACACCGGUGGCGAAGGCGGGUCUCUGGGCCGAUACUGACGCUGAGGAGCGAAAGCGUGGGGAGCGAACAGGAUUAGAUACCCUGGUAGUCC
rnacentral:rRNA from 1 species